CGAUGUUUACGAGAUUAAUUUUUAAAUAUUACGUGGCGCCACUGUUAUUUUUAAAUUUGUAAAGGGCAAUUGGUGAGUAAAGUCUUACUACUUUUAUUUCAGGGGAGAAUUGGAUUUUAGUUAUAAUAUGGUAUAAACGUCGACCUCGGUCAUUUGAGAAUUAAGAAAUUUUAUUGGAAGAAGCGAAAAUGAUAACAACAACGACAUUGAAUUCAAGGAACGACAGGAACAUUCCACAAUCAAAUGUGCCUUUUCGAUCAAAGAAAUUUCUCUUGGUUUUUCAACGCUCGUCUUAAAUGUUUCUUCCGAGCACUCAAUAUCUCUCCUGAAGAAUUUCCGGGAAAAGUGAAUGGAAGAAGGAAGUGAAUGUUUACUUCUGAGAAAAUGGACUUCAAAUGAAAACGACUUACCUGUCUCCAGAUUUACUGGAAAUUUGUGUCGAUGAAUUAACAUUGAACAUUUUUUGUCAAUGCGCUGCGAAUCACUGUUAUAAACACUUGUUUUCUAUUUUUUUUUUAAAUGCAAACGUGGAGUUUUUCGUCACAAAUAUUUUUUAUGUUUGAUUAAAUUUAGUGCUAUUUGUUAAGAUACUGUUAAAUGUUUACUUCUGCAUUUGUUGCAGUAAUUAAUACGAUCGAUUACUUUUGAAAAUUGAAGUUUAACAUUUUUUGUUUCCUAGAUUUCGCCAAUACGAAGAAGAGAAAGUUUGUGUG